rnacentral:rRNA from 1 species
UACGUAGGUGGCAAGCGUUGUCCGGAUUUACUGGGCGUAAAGAGCGCGCAGGCGGUCGGUCAAGUCGCGUGUGAAAGCCCCCGGCUCAACUGGGGAGGGUCACGCGAUACUGAUCGACUCGAAGGCAGGAGAGGGUAGUGGAAUUCCCGGUGUAGUGGUGAAAUGCGUAGAGAUCGGGAGGAACACCUGUGGCGAAGGCGGCCGACUGGGCCGACCCUGACGCUGAGGCGCGAAGGCGUGGGGAGCGAACGGG